rnacentral:rRNA from 1 species
ACUCCUACGGGAGGCAGCAGUGGGGAAUAUUGCACAAUGGGCGCAAGCCUGAUGCAGCCAUGCCGCGUGUGUGAAGAAGGCCUUCGGGUUGUAAAGCACUUUCAGUCGUGAGGAAGGUAGUGUAGUUAAUAGCUGCAUUAUUUGACGUUAGCGACAGAAGAAGCACCGGCUAACUCCGUGCCAGCAGCCGCGGUAAUACGGAGGGUGCGAGCGUUAAAUCGGAAUUACUGGGCGUAAAGCGCAUGCAGGUGGUUUGUUAAGUCAGAUGUGAAAGCCCGGGGCUCAACCUCGGAAUAGCAUUUGAAACUGGCAGACUAGAGUACUGUAGAGGGGGGUAGAAUUUCAGGUGUAGCGGUGAAAUGCGUAGAGAUCUGAAGGAAUACCGGUGGCGAAGGCGGCCCCCUGGACAGAUACUGACACUCAGAUGCGAAAGCGUGGGGAGCAAACAGGAUUAGAUACCCUGGUA